GUCAGGUUGGCCGAGUGGUUAAGGCAUCGGACUAAAGAUCCGACUCCCUUUGGGAUCGCAGGUUCGAAUCCUGCACCUGACG